rnacentral:rRNA from 1 species
UACAGAGGGGGCAAGCGUUGUUCGGAAUUACUGGGCGUAAAGCGCGUGUAGGCGGCUCUUCAAGUCAGGCGUGAAAGCCCCCGGGCUCAACUCGGGAACUGCGCUUGAUACUGUCGAGCUAGAGUGUGGAAGGGGCGAUUGGAAUUCCGUGUGUAGCGGUGAAAUGCGUAGAUAUACGGAGGAACACCAGAGGCGAAGGCGGAUCGCUGGGCCAACACUGACGCUGAGGAGCGAAAGCGUGGGGAGCAAACAGG